CCGAACUGAGACCGGCUUUUUGGGAUUCGCUCCACCUUACGGUAUCGCAGCCCUCUGUACCGGCCAUUGUAGCAUGCGUGAAGCCCAAGACAUAAGGGGCAUGAUGAUUUGACGUCAUCCCCACCUUCCUCCGAGUUGACCCCGGCAGUCUCCCAUGAGUCCCCGGCAUAACCCGCUGGCAACAUAGGACGAGGGUUGCGCUCGUUGCGGGACUUAACCCAACAUCUCACGACACGAGCUGACGACAACCAUGCACCACCUGUGUACGAGUGUCCAAAGAGAACCCCGUCUCGGGGGCUUUCUCGUACAUGUCAAGCCUUGGUAAGGUUCUUCGCGUUGCAUCGAAUUAAUCCGCAUGCUCCGCCGCUUGUGCGGGCCCCCGUCAAUUCCUUUGAGUUUUAGCCUUGCGGCCGUACUCCCCAGGCGGGGCACUUAAUGCGUUAGCUGCGGCACGGAACUCGUGGAAUGAGCCCCACACCUAGUGCCCAACGUUUACGGCAUGGACUACCAGGGUAUCUAAUCCUGUUCGCUCCCCAUGCUUUCGCUCCUCAGCGUCAGUUGCGGCCCAGAGACCUGCCUUCGCCAUCGGUGUUCCUCCUGAUAUCUGCGCAUUCCACCGCUACACCAGGAAUUCCAGUCUCCCCUACCGCACUCUAGUCUGCCCGUACCCGAUGCAAGCCCGAGGUUGAGCCUCGGGAUUUCACACCAGACGCGACAGACCGCCUACGAGCUCUUUACGCCCAAUAAUUCCGGACAACGCUUGCGCCCUACGUAUUACCGCGGCUGCUGGCACGUAGUUAGCCGGCGCUUCUUCUGCAGGUACCGUCACUUGCGCUUCUUCCCUGCUGAAAGAGGUUUACAACCCGAAGGCCGUCAUCCCUCACGCGGCGUCGCUGCAUCAGGCUUGCGCCCAUUGUGCAAUAUUCCCCACUGCUGCCUCCCGUAGGAGUCUGGGCCGUGUCUCAGUCCCAGUGUGGCCGGUCGCCCUCUCAGGCCGGCUACCCGUCGACGCCUUGGUAGGCCAUCACCCCACCAACAAGCUGAUAGGCCGCGAGCCCAUCCCCCACCGAAAAACUUUCCAACCCACACCAUGCGAUGCGAGCUCAUAUCCGGUAUUAGACCCCGUUUCCAAGGCUUAUCCCGAAGUGGAGGGCAGGUUGCUCACGUGUUACUCACCCGUUCGCCACUGAUCCACCCAGCAAGCUGGGCUUCACCGUUCGACUGCA
rnacentral:rRNA from 1 species